CUGGUCACACAUUAAAAUAAUUUUUCUCGCUUGACAGUUCAAAUUGACGCAGGAACUCCGAAGAAAUUUUAAUCAUGGAUCAUACAAAGAACAUGAUAUUUUUGCACAAUUUGCCGGAUUGCACCAGGGAAGAACUAGAAGCAUAUUGCAGUCCAAUUGGAAAAAUUAUUGGAUCUGUGGUGCUGGGACGACAAGGAUUUAUCGAGUUUGCCACUGACGAAAUGGCCGAAAACGCAGAACUAUGGCUCUCUGGAUCUAUUUUCAAGUCAAAAAUGAUUUUCGUCUGCAAUGCGAGCUCGAGAUCGAAGGUGGCUGAUGCCCUGAAUAACGCGUUCGAAGUGGAUGACUAGAAUGAGAGGAUUAGGUUUUCAAAAAAGACCAGAGGGAAAUACCGCUGAGGACAAAGAACGUGAUGAUUUGAGGCCUUAAAUAAAUGAAAUACAAAUAGUUGCAAACUAAAAUAAAUGAUUUUUCACCCAA